CAGGAAGGGGUGCAGCCUCUCUUAGACCUCAUUGAAGGGCUGACUGCCACUGGAAAUUGCUCUUUGGUGAAGCUUUUCCCUGUGAAAAUGGAAUCUUCUGUUACAGUGUUUUUGGGCUGCUGCUGUCCCCACAUCAUCCCCUAGUUUGCCUGAAGGUCUUGCAGCACUGAAGUUGGAACCUAAAACAACUGGUCUGGCUGAAACUGAAUGGCUUCACCUUCAAAAGGAGUGGAGCCUAUGGUGUUUGGGCCCUGAAGCGCAAUGAGGGAGCUGCAGCAGUGACCCCCAGCCGUGGCACUUGGACAGCUCAGGUAUGGAUGGGGGAGACUUGGGGAGCCCAGGGCCACAGCCCCCGCUGUUCCUGGCACGCUGAAAGCCUCCAGCAGGCCAACAGAACCCAUUUUUUCGCUAUCUCUGCAUGGCCCCUCAUUACCACCACAUCAAGCCCGAUUUUCUCAGGCCCACCAGCCUUCCUCAUAGCCCCAGUCCUCUCGUCACUCUUUCUCUGGCUCUAGGAAAUGAGAGCAGGCCUGGAGUCUAUAAAACACCCUGCAAAACUGAGAUUCCUCUGGGCAAAGGCACUAAAGUAGUCAUAUUUUUUCCAACAAGCGUCACAAAAACGAGUAAAGCUGAAGUACCUGUUUAUUCCUACAGCAUCUCAAGGAACAUUAAAUGUGAAAUCAGCUCUCGGGGUUAAAACCUGCUCGCUGUUGCUUGUUCCACUGUCAGUUGUCAAUCUGCAGCCAUUCCCACAGGAUCACUGUGCCUCACUGUGUCAGCUCCGCUGUGCUCCUUGUCAGCUUCACGAUGAGGAGCAAGGGGGGAAACUGGCAACCGGCACACAGGGAUCAGAGGUGGAAUAAAUUGAGAAGGAGUGGUUUAUAUAGGCACGAAGGUUUUGGAGCUCAGGGCUGCUGAAAACCAACAAAGAAUUAAAGAUAUAUCAAGUAAUGAGACAUCAGGCGUGGUUCUAAAGGUGCAGAAUCUGUGAACGCUUUUAAGCAAAAGGAAAAGACCAGAGGUGGUGCUAAACUGCAUCAAAAGGAAGCAGGAAGAGCUAGAAAUGAAGGCAAUCAAUUAUAAGAAUACAAUUUUUUAGUCAGCUGCACUGGUUAACACUAGAACAGAAGUUGUGGGAGGCUGUGAGGUUUUUUCAGAGUAAUUUCUGUGUGUCUACAUGGGAUUCCAGAGAUGCCGUAUGACCUUGCAGUAUGGAGUUUAAGCCAUGCGCAUGAGACUGGGCUCAUAUGCUGUACAGGUGUGCUGAAAUCUGGGCAGGCAGAAUGCUGCUGCGCCCAUUUCUGCUGUGGGGCAGCUGCGGUUGGAGCAUCGCUCCUGGCAAAAGGGGCUCUGGGUGUAUGUGAAAUGGGGAAAAAGGUUAGGUGCCCUCGGGCUGGUCCAAAAGCAGCACAUUUCAGAAAAAUGCCUAUUUCAGUUCCUGCUUCCAAAGACAGUGCUUGUUGUUCAGCGUGUUUAUUGUGAAAAGAGUAACAUUUGAAGGCGCACACAGGAUUCUGUAGCCCGACAUCCUAUGGGUCUGCCCAUUCUGCUGAGAAAUCCUCACACUGAUAUCCCAGCAUCUGUUAGAACUGACAUAUUUUUAGAUGUAUGUCUGCUUUGGACUUUAAGACUUGAAGAA